GACGAACGCUGGCGGCGUGCCUAAUACAUGCAAGUAGAACGCUGAAGGAGGAGCUUGCUUCUCUGGAUGAGUUGCGAACGGGUGAGUAACGCGUAGGUAACCUGCCUGGUAGCGGGGGAUAACUAUUGGAAACGAUAGCUAAUACCGCAUAAUAGUAGAUGUUGCAUGACAUUUGCUUAAAAGGUGCAAUUGCAUCACUACCAGAUGGAUCUGCGUUGUAUUAGCUAGUUGGUGGGGUAACGGCUCACCAAGGCGACGAUACAUAGCCGACCUGAGAGGGUGAUCGGCCACACUGGGACUGAGACACGGCCCAGACUCCUACGGGAGGCAGCAGUAGGGAAUCUUCGGCAAUGGACGGAAGUCUGACCGAGCAACGCCGCGUGAGUGAAGAAGGUUGUCGGAUCGUAAAGCUCUGUUGUAAGAGAAGAACGAGUGUGAGAGUGGAAAGUUCACACUGUGACGGUAUCUUACCAGAAAGGGACGGCUAACUACGUG
rnacentral:rRNA from 1 species